GUUACCUUCAAAAAAUAGUCCAGGAUUAAUGUUGGUUUGUUUUGUCCCAGUUUUUUUUGAUCGCGAUGAUAGGACGAAAAUGUUCUUGCCGAUAUAUCAAACAUAAGCUCUGACUUAAACAGAUCAAGCCUUCCCAAUGCAGAUUUAUUGGAUAAUUUUGUGUUUUCACAAGAGAAAAAUUCAAGCUUUAUUGAAAAUGAUAGAGAAGCGUCUCCUCCCCGUCGUCUGCUGUUUGAUCCUGAGGACAAGGAUGAUGACAUUACAGAUCCGGAUUAUAUACCCUCGAGUUAUAGUGACUCAGAUUUAGAAGUACGAGACGUGACUUUUAAUAAUAUAGAAGAGACAGGUGAUAACAUAGAAGAGAUAGGUGAUAACAUAGAAGAAAUAGGUGAUAACAUAGAAGAGAUCGGUAAAGCUGAUAGUCAAGAGGAUACAGAAUCAGAUGUAAAAGGAAAUAGACCCGAAAUAUUGAAUAUAAAGCGACCACGUACUUCAAAAGAAAAAGUUAUAAGAAAUAAGAAUAAACACCCUAUCGAGCCUUACACCUGCAACUGCAAGACUAAAAAAUGCCUUAAUGCAUUUGACUCAGACAAAAGAAAAGACUUGCAUACACGAUUUUGGUCAUUAGAUAAGGAUUUACAAACGAUGUGGCUUUAUAAGCAAAUUCACGAAACUAAAGCGAAACGUAAGCAUCUGGAAAGUCGUAGAAAUUUUUCUAGAACAUAUACCUUGCCGAAAAUUAACGCAAACGGUGAUGACGAGCGGGUAAAAAUAUACCAAAAAUUUUUUAUGACAACUUUGGGGUACAAAAGUACAAUGGUGGUAGACUAUAUGUUAAAAAAGAAUAAGGAUCCUCAUGGUACACAAAUAGCAACUCCCUUAUUAGCAGACCAAAGAAGAAAAUGGACUCCAGGAAAUAAAAAAAGCAAAACUCCAAUUACAGACCAUAUAAAUUCCUAUAAUCCCAAACCAUCACAUUAUAGAAGAGCACACGGGCCAAAUAGAGAGUACCUGCCAGCUGAAUUAUCUAUAAGGGAUUUGUACAAAGACUAUAACGAAAAAUAUCCUGAAAAUAAAGUUAGCUAUGAAACUUAUAGAAAUGAAGUAGAAGCAUUAAAUAUUGGGUUUUAUGAAAUAGAAGCAGACAAAUGUGAUACAUGUUCGGAAUCAGGCCAAACAAAUAACGAAGAAACUUCACUUAAAAAAGAAGAGCACAUUGCUGAGGCAAAGGAAGAACCACAGAUGAUUUCCACAGAUUAGGGAGUUGGCCACACAGAAGGCAUUCAUUAAAAAGAUAUAACCGGGCAGCAAAGUUUAAUGAUUUAGAUCGUUAUACUAUCCGAUCCACAGGCAUUUGAUUUAAUAGUAGAAAUUGCAUUUAAUACAUCAAUUUCUAAAUACGGUGUAAACUGAAAACUGCUUGUUAGAUGUACCUGUUUAUAUUUAUUUAUACAAACGUCAGUGAUAUCUAUCGCUGAAGGAUCAAUUGAUUCUAUAAAAAAAUUGUUAUAUCUUCGG